UUGUGUUGGGAAAAGUUUGCCACUCAGCAUUAGUAAAGAGGACUCUUGAAACUCCUCUAUUCAAAUACCUAAGCCCAGCGACAAUUAUAGCGAACAACAUUCAGACAUGGAAUAAUUGUCUUGCAUUGAUUGAUUCACCAUCUCCUUCUGCUUAACGGUAUAUGAUUGCUUAAGCUAACAAAUGGUUACAGGACGUAACGGGGC
rnacentral:lncRNA from 1 species